AGGGGCCCAGUACCGUUAAGUGGCAGAGCCGCGCGCAGCGCCUGCGCGGAGCCGCACGUGCCCGGCGCGGGGCCCGGGCGCGGGGCGGGUCCCUCCGCGGGGCCCAAGGGGUCGAGGCGUGAGGGGAGCGCGCGCGGGGAGGGGGGAUGACACACGGCCGCCCUCCCGCCACAGCCGCGCCCGGUGAGGUGACUCCCCGUCCCCCCGGGAGGCAGAGAGAAGAGGGAAGGCAAGGAGAGCUGGCGGGUCAAGGUACACCAUGGCUGAGUGUGUCCUUCCUGUUGUAGAGCCUUCUCCCCGGGCUACACCAUCACCUUGCCUGAAAGGCCCAUGGGGCAGAUAGUGGCUUCCCUCCUUUCAUGGGUUCUCCUGCUGUCUUUGGACUGGAAAAGCUGAUCUGGAGCAUGCUGCAGGAGGUGGAAAUCUGCUCACUCCUUGGGGCCAAGUGCUUUGGCGAUGGAGGGAUUUUUUUUCUGUAUUCCUACACUUACAGCAGGUCACUGCAAGCAAGGAAGGAGUCCCCAGCAAUGCUGACUGCCUUUGCGCUGCCCUCACGCCGUGCCUCUCCCUAAGUGUCAUCCUGACUGUGGAACCGUGAGUGAAGUACUAUAAAUCAUUGACUCCAGCUGCAUCUGGCUGUAAAAUAACCUAAUUUUUUGAGCUCACUUCAAGAUUCUUGCUUGAGUUGUAUUUCAGUAAAAUUGGAUUGCUUGCUCUGUUGGCACAACUCUAAAUAUAGAUCAGCCUUUAUUUAAAUUACUUGUUUCCAAAAUUGCUUCAAAGAGUCAGAAAUCCAGGAAAUACACAGGGAGAGUGAAUCCCAGCCUUCCUGAAGUUUCUCGGUUUGGCUGAUGUUCCUGGGAAAUUACAACUCCUGCUGUAGCACAGUGCUUUCCCUCUGACUGCUCUGGCUCAUACGUUCUGGAAGAUGUAGUUUGACCAGCUUGCCAUGCCUGUGGGAAAGAAUGGGGCAUCUUUACUUGAAACAACAAGCUCUUUCAAGCUGUGGAGCUACACCGCAAUGGGAAAUGAAAGUUUAACAUUGAGAUGACUGGAAGCAAGUAUUUUUAGCCUUGUUUCAACAUGAUUCUUUACCAUGAUGUUUCCUAAUCAAAGCUUUGGAAUUUGUCUUCUGUGUUUCUCCAGGAUGUACCUUGAAAUAAUACCUUUAAACAGUCAAAUGCAGCAAUUGGUAUCUUUGAGUGUAGGAGAGUAAACAUCGGUGAAAAAUA